GAUGAACGCUGGCGGCGUGCUUAACACAUGCAAGUCGAACGAUGACCCCGUGCUUGCACGGGUGAUUAGUGGCGAACGGGUGAGUAACACGUGAGUAACCUGCCCCCGACUUUGGGAUAAGCCCGGGAAACUGGGUCUAAUACCGGAUAUGACUUCUUACCGCAUGGUGGGUUGUUUAGAGAUUUAUCGGUGGGGGAUGGACUCGCGGCCUAUCAGCUUGUUGGUGAGGUAAUGGCUCACCAAGGCGAAGACGGGUAGCCGGCCUGAGAGGGUGACCGGCCACACUGGGACUGAGACACGGCCCAGAAUCCUACGGGAGGCAGCAGUGGGGAAUAUUGCACAAUGGGCGAAAGCCUGAUGCAGCGACGCCGCGUGAGGGAUGACGGCCUUCGGGUUGUAAACCUCUUUCAGUAGGGAAGAAGCGAAAGUGACGGUACCUGCAGAAGAAGCGCCGGCUAACUACGUG
rnacentral:rRNA from 1 species